rnacentral:ribozyme from 1 species
UGCCCAGCAACUCCUAUCCCUCCUCGUGAUAGAGGCCGGAGUACGAGCAACCUUAGAGAUGAUCGGGUAACCAACCCCAUGGGAACCUUGGACAUAUGCUGACAGGGAAGG